GGAAUUUUGGACAAUGGGCGCAAGCCUGAUCCAGCAAUGCCGCGUGAGUGAAGAAGGCCUUCGGGUUGUAAAGCUCUUUUGUCAGGGAAGAAACGGUGUUUUCUAAUACAGAGCGCUAAUGACGGUACCUGAAGAAUAAGCACCGGCUAACUACGUGCCAGCAGCCGCGGUAAUACGUAGGGUGCAAGCGUUAAUCGGAAUUACUGGGCGUAAAGCGUGCGCAGGCGGUUUUGUAAGACUGUCGUGAAAUCCCCGGGCUCAACCUGGGAAUGGCGAUGGUGACUGCAAGGCUAGAGUUUGGCAGAGGGGGGUAGAAUUCCACGUGUAGCAGUGAAAUGCGUAGAUAUGUGGAGGAACACCGAUGGCGAAGGCAGCCCCCUGGGUCAAAACUGACGCUCAUGCACGAAAGCGUGGGGAGCAAACAGGAUUAGAUACCCUGG
rnacentral:rRNA from 1 species